AUGACAUUUUCUUUUCAUUUUGUGACCAGUUCCAGUUGCCCUCAGUCAUGGAAAUGGUGGCAGGAACCCCCAAAUCCUUCAACAUCAGGCUCAUCCAUAAAAUCACCUUCCCAACCCUUCCUAUUAGCUGCAAGUGACCCAUCACCUCUGCUGUGCCAAAAGAAGCAGCAACAUAUUUCCCCAGAUAACAAUUGGAACAAGAAGUCAAGCUGUGUAACAUGCAAAUGUUGCAUCAUCCGGGUUCUUGGCAGAUCACUCAGAACAAAGACACCCUGCCUCCUGGAGCUCCUGCCUCACAGGCAUGUGCCCACCCUGGAUGUAACAGAACUAUUAUGAACAUAAAACUGAUUUGGUCUAUGAAGAAUUUUCAAGAUAAUUCAGAUUAUGAUUCAAUGCCUACAAUCCGGGCCUAUUCAGAUUCGUAAUAUAAGCUAUGUGGGGUCACACUGUGCAGAUCGAGAGCUAGGAUAGAAAAGCAUUUCUCUAAAGCUCUAAUGCAGGUUAAAUCCCAUCAGACCCAAUCCUGAAAAAGCAAACAAAGCCCAAAUAAAAAGGCUGCGUUUGUGUGAAAUGCUGAGUGG
rnacentral:lncRNA from 1 species